rnacentral:rRNA from 1 species
AUCGGUGACAGGUGGUGCAUGGUUGUCGUCAGCUCGUGUCGUGAGAUGUUGGGUUAAGUCCCGCAACGAGCGCAACCCCUAUUGUUAGUUGCCAUCAUUCAGUUGGGCACUCUAGCGAGACUGCCGGUAAUAAACCGGAGGAAGGUGGGGAUGACGUCAAAUCAUCAUGCCCCUUAUGACCUGGGCUACACACGUGCUACAAUGGUUGGUACAACGAGUUGCGAGUCGGUGACGGCGAGCUAAUCUACUUAAAGCCAAUCUCAGUUCGGAUUGUAGGCUGCAACUCGCCUACAUGAAGUCGGAAUCGCUAGUAAUCGCGGAUCAGCACGCCGCGGUGAAUACGUUCCCGGGCCUU